AUUGGAAGAGUAAACUUGGUCAACAAGCCAUAACUACAGAAUUCAACUUAAUCGCAAAGGCAAAGGACAAAUAUGGAACAAUUCCUCAUUAAUUCCACUAUAUUAACUUCUAGCGGAUUUUAAACUGUUUGUGUUGGAACGCAUGUCUCUUAUAUAUAAAAAUUUUAGACAAUCACAUUUGAAAAGGAAAUCAAGGAGUUUUCCUACGACAUAAAUAAUCGACAAUCGCUACAUUUUUAGCCCAAUAACCCAUCUACGAUUCUUCCACCUUUACUCUUUUUUCCAUUCUAGCUGUAUAACAUAUUUAUCCCUGCAAUUAACAUCUGAAACUAUUAAGACUCCAAAUAUAUUUAAUGACACACUAUUAGCCUAGUACUUAGGUAACACAAAAUUUAAAAAAGGAUAAACUAUAUGUCAAUCAAACCAAUUGUGUAUGUUGAUAUUAGACAACAAAUUGUGUGUGUGUUUUCAGAUAAAAUCAUAGAUAAUUACUUAUUGUCUGUAAAAUCACAAAAACUUGUUGUGCAGAACAGCUUAAGCAAUUUAUCGAACAGUUGGUGUGCAGAAAUUGAAGCAAUUCAUAAAGAAAUAUUUGAACCAAAACAGGCGAUGAGAAGCUGAAACUUUCUAUGAAACUGUGAUUCCGCAUGAACUGAAGAGUGACAAAUAUAGAAACACAAAAGCUUAGAAACUAGAUACAUGAACUGUUCUCCUAAUUAGAUCUUCUCGUUAUAAUAACAAAAAAAAAAGUUUGACCAGACCUUAGCAAUUUCGAAAAUACGACUAUAAAUCAUAGAGAGAUCAUCUUACUUUGUGUCCAUCGUCUCUAAUAACCCCAAUAGUACCAUCACUUGAAAAACUACUUAGCAAUAAAAGCGGCGAAAAUAUUUGAUUACCUUUGGAUGGCUGCGUUUAUCGGACACAGUUGCCUUAGAUAAUAAAUAGCAUAUUUGGUUGAUUGAGCGGGAUUAGAAUGAGAAAAGGAAACAAUGGCCGACGUCGCCAUCUUCCGCCGAUAGACAUUAACAGGCGAGGUGACGAAAAGAUCGAUUGAAACCGAUUGUGAAAUCUUGAUGUCAUCUGUUUAUAUUGACUAAAUGAAGGCCGAUAACUCAGAAAUUGGAAAGGGGAGAGAUGAAUCAACAAUGGAAUAAUCUUGAAAUGGAUGGUGAUUGAGGUAUAUGAAGUCGACUGACGUACGCUAUCGAUUCGAAUUUGAAAUAUGAUAGUUUUUGAUUUAUUGGGAUUACAUUGAAAAUUGAUUGUUGAUUUUAUGCGGGCCUCUUUCCUUUUGCAGGAGGAUUCCACAAGUGAAAUGUCACCUGCAACAAUGUUUGGAUGAGAAAGAUUUUAAGAAGCUCUGCUUAUUCAAGAUCUGUAUCUAGACCUAAUUGCACAAUUAAUUAAGUUAAUCAACCACAUAAGGCAUCUUCCAUAACUAAGUAGCAACAAAACCAUAACAGCUACCAGAAAUUCACCAUAAUAGCAACCUGAAAGUGCAAAAACCACACUGAACAACCCUUAUUGAAGCAGAUCCUCUUAGCACAAAAUGAGAACAACCAACCUUAUAAUCGAAAAGUUAGAAGUAGAAUAUUACCUUUGAUAACAUAACUACUGAAUAUCACCUCUUUUUAGGAAUCAUAUUUCGUUAAAACCCUAAAAAUUAGAAAUCUUUCAAACAAACGAAUUCCAAAACAGAAACACAAAUAGAAACAAAUCCAUAAAUAAUAGCAGGUGGUGGGUUUGGAUGUCUUUUACCCGGUUUGGAAGCCUCAUGGUGGAGGUCGUUGCGUCGACAAAGAAGGACAUUUGAUGUCGUUUAGAUAAGAAAAUAAGAAAGCGCAAGCAGGCGGAGAUCUUUGUGGUAGCAAUGGUUGUGUAGAAGGUAGUGUUUAGGUUACUAAUGACAUAUAAUAGAGAAGUGAUCGGAGUUUGUAAUGGUGGCAUCAAGAAGUUGUUGGUAAGUUGGUAACAGAGGGUUGUCGGAGACAUGAAAGGGCAAAGAGAAAGAGACGGGAUAUAUGUGGUUUGGCGGCAGGUGGUAGCAUGUAGAAGAAAUUAGGGUUCUCAACAUCUUGAGAGUUAACACCGUAAGAUACAUUUAGGUUUGGUGCACGUAUACACUUAUAUAUUGUAAGCUUAAUAUGUUUAUACUUCUUGUUCAAAUAGUU
rnacentral:lncRNA from 1 species